UAUGAACCCCUCAUACAAUGGAAGCAGUCUAAUGAUCUCUUUACACGUGGUAUUAAUGUAGUAGCCUCUGCAGUUUUGGAUUUGCCAGUUUUUUUGUUUUGUUUUUAUUUUGGUCACAAGAUUUUUCCAGUUUUUUGUUGUAAUCAUAAAAUUAUCAAAAAUGUGCAGUUAGGUGCAUGGAAUGAUGUUUUGAUUCGGACAAGGCAAUACGAUACAUAUGGGGAGAAGACAAACGCUAUAUAGCUGUCACGAACACGAGACCUUCUUACAUUUUUUUUUAUAUUUUGUUUCUU
rnacentral:lncRNA from 1 species